rnacentral:rRNA from 1 species
AAAGGGAGCGUAGGCGGCUGAUUAAGUCAGCGGUGAAAGGUAGCAGCUUAACUGUUUUACAUGCCGUUGAUACUGGUUAGCUUGAGUUGACAGAAGGCAGAUAGAAUUCCUGGUGUAGCGGUGAAAUGCUUAGAUACCAGGAGGAAUACCGAUUGCGAAGGCAGUCUGCUGCAGUCACACUGACGCUGAGGCUCGAAGGUGCGGGGAUCAAACAGGAUUAGAUCCCUUGU